GGGGUGGGCCCUUUUUGUUGCCUUCCUCCUUCCUAUUGGCCAGAAAGCGUAAGCAUCAUAUUGGACCAUGAGGUAGUGAGGAACAUUUGGAAGCCACAAGUUGAGAAUGGCAAAACCUGAGAGAAAUUAAGUGAGGUGAAUCACGAAGUGGGAGAUGAAAGGAUGAGGUGUUGGGGGGAGCGUAUGAAGAUCUGAGGAGACAAGGCAGAUUUAAAACAGUUGCUGCAGAGAGGAGGAGACAGCGAGCUGACCCAACCCUCAGCUCCAGUG
rnacentral:lncRNA from 10 species